AUGGAAGCUAUGCCAUGGGGAAUACUGUGGCUCAACUCAAACGAGCUUAGAGGUCCAAUACCACCAUUGCCAGCAGACCUUGAUAUACUGGACAUCUCCAUGAACUCCUUUUCAGGACCACUGCCAUCGAAUUUUGGUUCACGAGAUAUAGAAACAUUGAUUAUGUUCUCCAAUAACAUUACUGGCAGCUUCCCAACAUCUAUGUGUCAAUUGCAGAGUUUGGUCGACUUGGAUUUGUCAAACAAUGCUUUGGAAGGAGAAAUUCCUCAAUGUUUUCAGGCCAAUACAAUGAAGUAUCUAUUAUUAAGUAAUAAUAGUCUAUCCGGAGAAUUCCCAAUGUUUAUUCAAAACUGCACCGAAUUAGUCAUCUUGGAUCUAGCACGAAACGUGUUCUCUGGAAGCUUGCCUACAUGGGUAGGUGACUUGGCAAAUUUGGAGUUUAUUCUACUGAGCCACAAUAUGUAUUCUGGUAAUAUUCCCAGCAGCAUCACAAGACUCAAGCGCCUGCAAUUGUUGGAUCUGGCAAGCAACAAUCUAUCUGGUGCCAUACCUCAGUAUCUCGCAAACUUAACAUCCAUGACCCUGAAGGGCUUAGCGCCAUCAUCUGAUCCAGUCAAUAUUGACCCAUUUGAGCAUGGUAUCUAUGACCUCCCUUUGGCAAGUCAAUUUGGAGAAAUUAUGCCAGUGAACAUCAAAGGACAGGAACUGAAAUAUGGCCAUGGGAUUAGGAUGAUGGUGAGCGUUGAUCUCUCAUGCAACCGGUUUACAGGUAGAAUCCCGGAAGAUGUCUCUUCUCUUGAUGCUCUGAUAAAUCUAAAUUUAUCAAUGAACGAGCUGAGCGGAGACGUUCCUGGCAAGAUUGGUGCCAUGCAGUCCCUGGAAUCACUCGAUCUGACAAGCAACAAGCUUUCUGGUGAAAUCCCGUCCAGUCUAUCAAACUUAACAUACCUGAUAUACCUGAACCUGUCCUAUAACAGAUUAUCAGGAAGAAUACCAUCAGGCCACCAACUCGACACACUCAAUGUGGACUAA
rnacentral:rRNA from 1 species